ACAUGACCCUAAUUAAUGUGCUUCCCGCCAUUACGCUGAAAAUGCCAACAAAAACUGGAAAGAAAAGAGCCAGUUCGGCUAAAACCGAAUCAAAAUUGACGAAAGAUGAGGCAUCCCCUGUUAAAAAGGCUAAAACUACGUCAACAAAUGCCAACUUUCGCAUGACAAUCGAGCAUUGCAAAUCCUGACAGGUGUUCAAGCGCAAGGCCUUAGCUCUGGUUGAGGACUUGCGCAAGAAGUAUGGGGAGUUUGAGGUUGAGCUUAAUCCCUCAGCUCCCAGGCGUGGCAGCUUUGAACUUGUUAUUUCCAGGGAUGGAAAGGAUGAUGUUGUAGUUUGGACUGGUUUAAAGAAAGGUCCACCAAGGAAACUCAAGUUCCCAGAAGCUGAAUCAAUUAUUGAAGAGAUGGAGAAGAUUGUAUUAACUGUCUAGUGUUGUAUUUGUCUGUAUAUAAGGUAAUGGUUA